CCCUUAUCCCAUUUUAAAGUAUCAAGAGUUAUUAAGCAGCGUGGAAAAUCAAGACCAAUUAUUGACCUAUGGGACUUGACACCCUAAAUUAGCAUCAACUGAAAAACUUAAACAUACCAAGACCUAACCUCAAAAUCCACAUGAUAAAGUCUCUCACACACAAGACGCUUGUGUGGCCACUGACAGUGAGAUAAUGUGAAGGAAUAACUCAAUUUUGAGAUGAAAUUCUAAGGAGUCAGUAAUCUCGCGAAGGAAGGAAGCUACUUCCACUCUUGUAGCUGGAAAAGAACUUGGAAUAUUUUUCGAAUGAGAUGACAUUGGAUUCAUAGAUCAGUUUGCCAGACAUAUCUUUAGUGACCUUGUCCGUAAGAACUGCAAUGAACUUUCUUUAAUUAUUAUAUCUAUUGGGUGUUUUCCUUCUCAAUUGGUGCUCGAUUUGUUGUCUUUGGCUGUAUCUACUCUAUCUUUUAUGUCAAUAUAUUUUCACGCUUAACAUGGAACGCUAGGGGUGUAUGCGGUGCAAAUAAAAAAUCCCACCUUAAGAGCCUUGUUGGGAAAGUAUUCAGUUGAUGUUGUGGUGAAACAAAGAGUGAUUCUAUUUCUUUCUCUGAAAUAAGAGGUGUUUGGGGGAUGAGGAAUUUAGGUUGGACUUCUAUUCAAGCAGUAGGCCUUUCUGGGGGCCUUUUGGCAAUAUGGAACAAAGAAACUAUUGAUAUUACAAGAAGUUUAUGCUGUGAUAGGUGGAUAUUAUUACCCGGUUCCAUUUUAUCUUGUAACUAUGAGGUGUGGAUGGCAUUUUUAAACACUCCUUGUGAUAUCCAUGAACAACAACUGUUAUGGUUUGAAAUUUUGCAAGAACGAAGCUCCAUUGGUGGGAAUUUUUUGUUAAUGGGGGACUUCAAUCAGGUGUUACACAGGUCUGACUGAAGGAGUGGAAGGUUCUUUCAGGAGGGAAUGGCAAAUUUCAGAAAUUUCGUCAAUGCUUUGAAUCUGUUUGAUGUUGCAUUGUCAGGGAAGUUGUUCACUUGUAGAAACUCUCAAGCAGUGAGCAAAAUUGAUAGAGCUCUUGUUUCUUUUGAAUGACAAUCUCAAUUUCCUCAUCUUCUGCUUACUGCCUUACCUAGGGGGCCUUCCGAUCAUAAUCCCAUUAUGCUAACUACAAGUAAUCAAAAUUGGGGUCCAAAGCCGAUGAGAUUUGUAGAUGCUUGGUGGACAUGGCCUAAUUUAUUGUAAAAAAAUUUUUGGUUGGAAUGUGCUGGUACUACAUCUUUUCCGCAUAAGUCGAAACUUUUUGAGGCAAAAGCUCAAAGUAUGGAAUAAUGACAUGUUUGGCCAUUCAGGCAACAAGCUCUCUUCUUUGAAAUCCUCAUUGGAUAAUUUGGAAUCAGUGGCAGAACAAGAACCUCGACUUCAGAUGAGUUAACUCUCCAUCAAUUGAAAUCGGAGAUUCACUUAUGGACAGCUAGGGAAGAAAGCAUUUGGAGGCAAAAGUCACGAAUAUCAUGGUGUAUGUUGGGAGAUAAAAGUACAAGAUUCUUUCAUUUAUAGUGCAGUAAUCGAUGGCAGAAAAACAAAUUACAAGAAUUGUGGUUGAUGGUACUGCUUUCUUUUCGAAGAAUGCUAUCAGGCAAGCUGUGUUUGAACACUUUAAAUCUAGAUUCUACUAAUCCUACCAACACUCAUGCUCAGCGCCAAAUUUGAGGUAUCUUCAUCUGGAUCUUUUUGAGGCUUCUGCACUUGAGAUUCCUUUUUCUCCUCAGGAGAUUAAAUUUGCAAUAUGGGACUAUGACUCCUUUAAGGCACCUGGGCCUGAUGGUGCAAAUUUUCCAUUUUUUUUAUAAGAAAGCAUGGCCGCUCCUCAAAGAAGAGAUCUUUCAUAUACUAGGUGAGUUCCAUUGCUCCUCUGUACUACCUACGGCUGUGCAUUCAUCUUUAAUUGUAUUGGUUCCAAAAUCACUGGGGGCCUCAAAGCUAGAAGAUUACAGACCAAUCAACUUGAUUUAUGGUCUUUAUAAGAUUGUUCUGAAGAUUCUAGCCAAUAAAUUAAAAUCUAUCAUGCCAAAAAUUAUCCGUCCAUACCAGAGUGCCUUUGUCUCUGGACACCAAAUUUUGGAUAGUUUCCUCAUUGCUAAUGAGAAGGUGGACUUCCAUAGAAAAUUGAAAAUUGGCUGUUUUCUAUUCAAGGUGGAUUUCAAGAAAGCAUUUGAUAUGGUAAGGUGGGAUCAUCUACAAAAAAAACUAUGGAGUUCAGGUGGAUCUCUUGGAUUCGUUCUUAUGUUUCUCAUGCUAGGGUAUCUAUCCUAGUUAAUGGAAGACCUACUUCGGAGUUCAAUUUGUUGAAUGGGCUAAGACAAGGGGACUUAUUGCCCCCAUUUCUAUUCAUUAUAGCAAUUAAGCCUCUCAGUUUGUUGAUUCAGGAAGCUUGUUUAAGAGGUAGUGUAGAAGGGGUUUCUAUUGGUUCAGGUGGUAUGCUAAAGUUCAUUAGCAGUUUGCUAAUGAUAAGCUUUUCUUUUGCCCACCGAAGAUGGAAUAUAUUAUUAAUUUUGCCAGAAUUUUGCGUUGUUUUCAUGCUGUAAUAUUUAAGGGUAAAUUUCCAUUAAAGUGUUUUCUUUGGAAUUAAUUUAGAUGAAGAUUUUCUGAAUUCUGCAGCUUCAAUAGCAUGUUGCAAAGUUGGGUCCUACCUUGGCUUCCCUUUGGGGGCUAAUGUGAAGCAAAAAGCUACAUGGACUCCUGUACUUAAGAAAAUUGACAACAAACUCAACUUUUAGAAAGGGAAAAUUCUGUCUUUAUCUAGUCGAUUGACACUGAUCAAAUCAUGCUUAUCCAGGUUGUCAUUAUGUUAUUUAUCUGUUUCUAAUGUUCCGAAAGGUGUGGCUAAGAUGAUUGAAAAAAUGUUUAGAGAUUUCUUCUAGGUUGGUGGUGAUUUCAAAAAGAAGAUCCAUCUUGUGAGUUGGAGCACCCUCACAAAGCUUAAGGAAAAUGGAGGUUUGGGAAUUUCGAAUAUUCUCUUACAUAAUCCAGCUCUCCUUUUCAAAUGGCUGUGGCAUUUUCAAUCACAGCUUGAGGCACUUUGGGUUUCAGUACUUCGAUCAAGAUACCCUUUUUCUCUUGAUAAUGGUCUUCAAUUAACUAACAGGUGUUCUCUAUCCUCAGUGUGUAAGGAUAUCCAACACCCCGUUUCUUCAUCUAGUAGUAGCUUCUCAAUCAUGGAUAACUUAUGCUUUGCAGUUGGGAAUAGGGCUAAAACACUAUUCUGGCUUGAUAAGUGGAUCUCUGAUAUCCCACUGAAGUUCACUUUUGCCACCUUUUCAAUCUAUCUUGCACUCCUAAUGCUCUUGUUUAUGAGAUGGGGCGCUAGAUUGGUAAUGUUUGGGAAUGGAAUUUCUCUUGGAGACAGGCACUGUUCUCAUGGGAAGCCGAGUCUUUAGCACUUUUGAUGGGCCUUGUUCACUCUGUUAAUCUUUGUCAAUUUAGGAGUGAUAAGCUAUUAUGGAAGCUUACAACAAAUGGGAAAUUCUCGGUGAGUUCUCUAUAUAAGGGCUUAAUACAAUCCACCUCUUUGAGUAAUUAUAAUUGUGCUUUUGUGUGGCUAGGCUUAGCCCCUCCCAAAGAAAAAAUUCUAGUCUGGUUUGCUUGUCAUAAUAGGCUGUGUACUCGAGAUUGCUUGUAUUCUAUUAAUCUUAUUCCUUGCACUGAAGAUGUUUGCUUUCGAUGUUCAGCAGAAAAUGAAACGGUACCUCAUAUUUUUUUAAAGUGUCCAUUUGCUUGGCGCAUUUGGUAUUGGUUUCUAAGAUGGUGGGAGAUUCAGUUUUAUCUUCCAAAUUCUGUUAAUCUUCUUCUUGUUGAAUGGAAGUCUUUAGCUUUUGGUUGCUUUCAAAAAUGGUUUGGAAAUAAUCUUUUCUUUGCAAUCAUGUGGUCUAUCUGGUUAGAUAGAAAUGAAAAGAUAUUCAAUGGAUCUGAUACCUUUGUUGCUGAUGUGGUUGCGUUGGUGCUUCAUCGCAUUUCAAUUUGGAUGAAAGCAUAAGAUGUGAACUUUCCUUUCUCUGGUUUGGACCUAUUGGUGUCGUUUGCUUCAAUUAGAUGCUGGACCAAUCCUAUUAAAUCCCACCUACAACUGUUUUGGUCUGCUUCCCCUGCACAUGUUUGGAAAUGUAAUGUAUAUGGUUCUUCAUUAGGUAAACCUGGUAAAAGUGCAAUUGGUGGUAUAUUACGUGAUGUUAUUGGCAACUUUAUUUGUUUGUUUUCUUGCCCAACAGGCUUGGGAGACUCAAAUGUAGCAGAACUAAAAGCUAUUCAAAAGGCACUUGAGCUAUCCCUAUCUUUGGCAAAAAUUCAUAGUGGCUCUGUUUCUCUAAUUGUAGAAUCUAACACUUCAAAUGCAAUUGCAUGGGUGACUCAUUUGGAUUCAGCAACAUGUAAAUUCAAUUCUUUAAUUAACUCAAUAGUUCAACUCAUUAAUGUGCUUCCAAGUGUUUCUUUCAAACAUGUUCUUCAAGAAGCAAAUUAUGUGACCGAUAGUUUUGUAAGCAGGGUCUUAAUCGUGGUACAGAUU
rnacentral:misc_RNA from 1 species